rnacentral:lncRNA from 13 species
CCUCUUUUCAGGCAUAUGGUAGCAUUUCAUCUCUCUGUGUCUUUGAAUAUACUCAUACCCUUAUUGGCCUGGUGACUUGGACAAAGCCUAUGAAUAUGAGCAGAAAUAUUAAGGAAUCUUCAUACUGUCUUCCAAAGUAACUGCAUCAUUUUGCAUCCUCACCAAUAGUGUACAAGAAUUCCAGUCUCUUCCCAUCCUUGUCAACACAGCAAUCCUAAGAGAGACUGAAUGAAAAGAAGACGAUGGCAGAGAUUGGGAGUGAAGAUGACAAAUUCAGUUUUGCACCUGAGGUGUGCCGACAUGAAUAUGUGCAAUAAAUGGAAAACCCCAGAAGUACAUCGCAGAUGCUCAGAAACCCUUGGGAGUCCACAGACAGGAUUGCAUGUGACACCACAAUCUGGAUAGGGCCUGCUUGAUUGAGUCAGAGCUCCAAUAAACACAGUAUCACAAUGAAGAUAUUAAUAUUGAUGUAUCAAGAUAAAGAAGACUUCCAUCACCAUGGAGAUAUAUUUCUUGCCCCUGUAGAGCCAAACCCACUUCCCAUGGUAUGAAUGUAACACAAUUUGUUUAAUUAUUUGUAUGGUGAAGAUUAUCUUAGCUCUUUCCAGAUUUUGGCUAUUACAAAUAAAACUGCUGUGGGCAUCCA